ACACAUGCAAGUCGAACGGUAACAUUUCUAGCUUGCUAGAAGAUGACGAGUGGCGGACGGGUGAGUAAUGCUUGGGAACUUGCCUUUGCGAGGGGGAUAACAGUUGGAAACGACUGCUAAUACCGCAUAAUGUCUUCGGACCAAACGGGGCUUCGGCUCCGGCGCAAAGAGAGGCCCAAGUGAGAUUAGCUAGUUGGUAAGGUAACGGCUUACCAAGGCGACGAUCUCUAGCUGUUCUGAGAGGAAGAUCAGCCACACUGGGACUGAGACACGGCCCAGACUCCUACGGGAGGCAGCAGUGGGGAAUAUUGCACAAUGGGGGAAACCCUGAUGCAGCCAUGCCGCGUGUGUGAAGAAGGCCUUCGGGUUGUAAAGCACUUUCAGUUGUGAGGAAAAGUUAGUAGUUAUACCUGCUAGCCGUGACGUUACACAGAAGAAGCACCGGCUAACUCCGUGCCAGCAGCCGCGUAUACGAGGUGCGAGCGUUAUCGAAUUCUGGCGUAAGCGCACGC
rnacentral:rRNA from 1 species